CUCUCUUUCUCUUACAUAUGAUGGAAUAUGGCAACUGCUGCCCAGUAGGUUAAGACUUGGCUGAGGCUGGAGAGGAAAAAGCUAGUGAGGCAGCGCCACUGGGGAUGAGAGAAGCCUCCCUACUGAUCUGGGAUCACCAGCAUCCAUCCAUCCGGCCAACCUACAGCACAGACAUUAUACAGAAGUAGUAAAGGAGGAACUGCCAAUGCCAACACCAAGGUGAGGCUCCUGGCCAGAGACAGAAAGAGAGAGGCACAAGUUUAG